CCGUGUCUCCUCGGCGAGUAGAGCAGCCUCAGCUUUCUUGGUUCUGGCCUUCGCAUUGGGCUGCUCGAUGGCGAGCUUCCUCUUCUGCACCUCGAGGUAGUCCUUCAUUUGCUCCUCCUUCCUUUGUUGGAUCUUCUCCUUUCCGGCCUCUUUCUCAGACAAUCAUCUUGAGCGUCUCUUCGAAGACGAGGUUGAAGGCCUCACGCUUGGCAUCGGACUUGGAAUUCGACCCAACUUUUCA
rnacentral:lncRNA from 1 species